GAUGAACGCUGGCGGCGUGCCUAAUACAUGCAAGUCGAGCGAACAGACGAGGAGCUUGCUCCUCUGACGUUAGCGGCGGACGGGUGAGUAACACGUGGAUAACCUACCUAUAAGACUGGGAUAACUUCGGGAAACCGGAGCUAAUACCGGAUAAUAUAUUGAACCGCAUGGUUCAAUAGUGAAAGACGGUUUUGCUGUCACUUAUAGAUGGAUCCGCGCCGCAUUAGCUAGUUGGUAAGGUAACGGCUUACCAAGGCAACGAUGCGUAGCCGACCUGAGAGGGUGAUCGGCCACACUGGAACUGAGACACGGUCCAGACUCCUACGGGAGGCAGCAGUAGGGAAUCUUACGCAGUGGGCGAAAGCCUGACGGAGCAACGCCGCGUGAGUGAUGAAGGUCUUCGGAUCGUAAAACUCUGUUAUUAGGGAAGAACAAAUGUGUAAGUAACUAUGCACGUCUUGACGGUACCUAAUCAGAAAGCCACGGCUAACUACGUG
rnacentral:rRNA from 1 species